GCUCAGAAGAAGUUAUAUAGAAGUCAGGGUUACCAAUCCUUUUGGCCUCCAACACUCGGUUUCGAAAUAUUAUUGGUCUCGAUAAUUUUCAAUUAGCCCUCGUAUGUAUAAAAAGCUGUCCUAGGAUAAUUGGGACGGGUGUAGCCGCUGUUGUAGGUAAUUUAAUAUAUAUCCGUAGACAACGAUUAACCAUUGCUAACGAAAAAACGAUUCUGAGCGGAAUUCGGUUGAUAGUG